rnacentral:rRNA from 1 species
GACGAACGCUGGCGGCGUGCUUAACACAUGCAAGUCGAACGGAAAGGCGCUGCUUUUGUGGGGUGCUCGUGUGGCGAACGCGUGAGUAAAACGUGAGUAAACUCCACUUGACUUUGGGAUAACUUCUGGGAACUGGGGCUAAUACAGGAUAGGAGAUCCUGCUGCAUGUUGUGGGUUGGAAAGAUUCGGCGGUUGGGGAUGGAAUCGCGGCUUCUCAGCCUCAUGGUGGGGUAGUGGCUUACCAAGGCUUUGACGGGUAGCCGGCCUGGGAGGGUGACCGGCUACAUUGGGACUGAGGUGCGGCCCAUACUGCUACGGGAGGCAGCGGUGGGGACUAUUGCACAAUGGGCGGAAGCAGGAAGCAGCAACGCCGCGUGGGGGAUGACGGCUUUCGGGUUGUAAACCGCUUGCGCGUGUGACGAAGCGUGAGUGACGGUAAUGGGUAAAGAAGCACCGGCUACCUACGU